rnacentral:rRNA from 1 species
UACGGGGGGGCAAGCGUUGUUCGGAAUUACUGGGCGUAAAGGGCUCGUAGGCGGCCAACUAAGUCAUACGUGAAAUCCCUCGGCUUAACCGGGGAACCGCGUCUGAUACUGGAUGGCUUGAGAUUGGGAGAGGGAUGCGGAAUUCCAGGUGUAGCGGUGAAAAUGCGUAGAUAUCUGGAGGAACACCGGUGGCGAAGGCGGCAUCCUGGACCAACACUGACGCUGAGGAGCGAAAGCCAGGG